rnacentral:rRNA from 1 species
ACGGCCGCAAGGUUAAACUCAAAUGAAUUGACGGGGGCCCGCACAAGCGGUGGAGCAUGUGGUUUAAUUCGAAGCAACGCGAAGAACCUUACCUACUCUUGAAAUCCAGUGAACUUGGCAGAGAUGCCUUGGUGCCUUCGGGAACACUGAGACAGGUGCUGCAUGGCUGUCGUCAGCUCGUGUUGUGAAAUGUUGGGUUAAGUCCCGUAACGAGCGCAACCCUUAUCCUUAUUUGCCAGCGAGUGAUGUCAGGGACUAUAAGGAGACUGCCGGUGACAAACCGGAGGAAGGCGGGGACGACGUCAAGUCAUCAUGGCCCUUACGAGUAGGGCUACACACGUGCUACAAUGGCCGGUACAGACGGUUGCGAAGCCGCGAGGUGAAGCUAAUCUGAAAAAGCCGGUCGUAGUCCGGAUUGGAGUCUGCAACUCGACUCCAUGAAGUCGGAAUCGCUAGUAAUCGUGAAUCAGAAUGUCACGGUGAAUACGUUCCCGGGCCUUGUACACACCGCCCGUCACACCAUGGGAGUUGAUUGCACCAGAAGUGGGUAGCUUAAAAUUGGGCGCUCACCACGGUGUGGUUAAUGACUGGGGUGAAGUCGUAACAAGGU